rnacentral:lncRNA from 1 species
CUAAAUAAGAAGGAACUCACACUUAAAGAUGUGGAAUGUAAAUUCUACAAAAUGAAAACUGCUUAUGAAGAGGUUACAACUGAGUUAGAAGAAUAUAAGGAAGCCUUUGCAGCAGCAUUGAAAGCUAAUAGUUCCAUGUCAAAAAAAUUAACUAAAUCGAAUAAGAAAAUAGCAAUGAUCAGUAUCAGCUCUUUAUGGAGAAAGAGCAGGUGAAAUAUUUUCUCAGCACUCUUCCUACAAGGCGAGGUCGAGAGUCACCUUGUGUUGAAAAUCUUACUAGUAUAGGACUCAACAGAAAAUAUAUUCCCCAAAUGCCCGUAAGAAUUCCUACUUCAAACCUCAGACUUCAAAUAACUGCCAGAACUACUUGACUGAGAUGGGGCCGGACUGUGUAGAAUAAAUAAUUAGAGAAACAAAGAGAACUGUUGCUGUAUUGGACACUUGCUCCCAUCUACUUUCUUCUCUGGAAUCCACGGCCACUGAGGAAGCACAGGUGAGCCCUCCCCAGUGUGUACUCACUGGUCCCCAACAGAAGAACCACUGCCACAUCCACUGAG